rnacentral:lncRNA from 1 species
AAUUCGUGAAAUAAAUAAAAAAAUAUCUAUAAUCCAUAUUUAGAGUAUGAAACUACGUUGAUAUGAAUUAGGAGAUAAUUAUACUUAUAUUUAUAGAGUAAUGUACAAAUCCUAUCAGUCCGUCGUCUAAUCAUAAACUUAAUAUCUCAUGUCAUGAUGUAGUAGAGGUGAAGAGCUAACAUAUAAUCCAUUCCAGUAUGAAAUGCGAGAUAGUAUUAUUAUAUACGUUCGAUCUUGAAUGGAUGUCAAGUGUAGUGAUCACNN